rnacentral:rRNA from 1 species
CCUACGGGAGGCAGCAGUGGGGAAUAUUGGACAAUGGGCGAAAGCCUGAUCCAGCCAUGCCGCGUGUGUGAAGAAGGCCUUCGGGUUGUAAAGCACUUUCAGUGGGGAAGAAAGCCUUGGGGCUAAUACCCUCGAGGAAGGACAUCACCCACAGAAGAAGCACCGGCUAACUCCGUGCCAGCAGCCGCGGUAAUACGGAGGGUGCGAGCGUUAAUCGGAAUUACUGGGCGUAAAGCGCGCGUAGGCGGUCUGAUAAGCCGGUUGUGAAAGCCCCGGGCUCAACCUGGGAACGGCAUCCGGAACUGUCAGGCUAGAGUGCAGGAGAGGAAGGUAGAAUUCCCGGUGUAGCGGUGAAAUGCGUAGAGAUCGGGAGGAAUACCGGUGGCGAAGGCGGCCUUCUGGACUGACACUGACGCUGAGGUGCGAAAGCGUGGGUAGCAAACAGGAUUAGAUACCCCAGUAGUC